rnacentral:rRNA from 1 species
GACGGAGGGGGCUAGCGUUGUUCGGAAUUACUGGGCGUAAAGGGCGCGUAGGCGGUUUGGUAAGUUGGAAGUGAAAGCCCGGGGCUUAACCUCGGAAUUGCUUUCAAAACUGCCAAGCUAGAGUGUAGUAGGGGAUGAUGGAAUUCCUAGUGUAGAGGUGAAAUUCUUAGAUAUUAGGAGGAACACCGGUGGCGAAGGCGGUCAUCUGGGCUACAACUGACGCUGAGGCGCGAAAGCGUGGGGAGCAAACAGG